UACAGAGGGUGCAAGCGUUGUUCGGAAUUAUUGGGCGUAAAGCGCGUGUAGGCGGCUUUGCAAGUCGGGUGUGAAAGCCCUCGGCUCAACCGAGGAAGUGCGCCCGAAACUGCAGAGCUUGAGUACCGGAGAGGAUGGCGGAAUUCCCCAAGUAGAGGUGAAAUUCGUAGAUAUGGGGAGGAACACCGGUGGCGAAGGCGGCCAUCUGGACGGAUACUGACGCUGAGACGCGAAAGCGUGGGGAGCGAUCCGG
rnacentral:rRNA from 1 species